CAGUACACUAUACGUUGCACAAGCUGUAAUUUUGGAACCAAAUAUCAAAAAUACAAACUAUGGCGUCCUUUUGCCUGAAAACAGUUAUAUUUUUGAUGUUCUUCACCUACUUAACUUCUACAGAUGCUCAAACUUGACCACCACCACCUCCAGGUGCUCCCGCCGCCUUAUGCGCACAAUUGAAACAACGGCAGGCCAGAGAAGUUCAAGAACUGAACGUUAAAAGAAAGAGAGACACGUGGAGUGAAGAUGAAAUUAUUGAGCGAUUGCUGGCAAUGAAGAAUUAGGAAGAACCUUGGCAGAGACUGUUGAAGACAAGUGCAAUAAUUUCAAAUAAAAAAUCGUAGGAUGAUUAAGUGUAUAUGAUUACCAAAGUGUAAUUUGCAAUAUUUUCGGAUGGUAAGGCAAUUGAUUUAAAAUAUUUGAUCGUGCAUGCUUCGAUCCCGUUCCGUCUCACCAAAUGACGGUUCAACCGUUCAAUGUUGUCUGAAUAUUCAUACUAACUUUCUAAAGUUACCCGACCAGCAUUAAUCUCAAAUCUUCUGCAAGAUAUUUUCAGUCUUAUCAAAGAGUCAGUAGCUAUAAGCAAUUUUUCUAAACAAGAAACGAGAUUGCCUUGUCUCUUGAAAUGUUUCAAAUCCGCUAUAGAAUUAAUUUCAAUUUUUAGAUAAUUUCAGUUACCAUUUUAAUGACGGUGUCCUUAGUGAUUAUGACAGCAAUUUGGACAA